UACGUAGGCAGCGAGCGUUGUUCGGAGUUACUGGGCGUAAAGGGUGUGUAGGCGGUUGUUUAAGUUUGGUGUGAAAUCUCCCGGCUCAACUGGGAGGGUGCGCCGAAUACUGAAUGACUUGGAGUGCGGGAGAGGAGAGUGGAAUUCCUGGUGUAGCGGUGAAAUGCGUAGAUAUCAGGAGGAACACCGGUGGUGUAGACGGCUCUCUGGACCGUAACUGACGCUGAGACACGAAAGCGUGGGUAGCAACAGG
rnacentral:rRNA from 1 species